CCCAGACUCCUACGGGAGGCAGCAGUGAGGAAUAUUGGUCAAUGGUCGGGAGACUGAACCAGCCAAGCCGCGUGAGGGAGGAAGGUACAGAGUAUCGUAAACCUCUUUUGUCAGGGAACAAAGACUGGGACGCGUCCCCGGAUGAGUGUACCUGAAGAAAAAGCAUCGGCUAACUCCGUGCCAGCAGCCGCGGUAAUACGUAUGGAGCAAGCGUUAUCCGGAAUUACUGGGUGUAAAGGGAGCGUAGACGGAUGUGCAAGUCUGAUGUGAAAGGCGGGGGCUCAACCCCUGGACUGCAUUGGAAACUGUAAAUCUUGAGUGCCGGAGAGGUAAGCGGAAUUCCUAGUGUAGCGGUGAAAUGCGUAGAUAUUAGGAGGAACACCAGUGGCGAAGGCGGCUUAUUGGACGGUAACUGACGUUGAGGCUCGAAAGCGUGGGGAGCAAACAGGAUUAGAUACCCGCGUACC
rnacentral:rRNA from 1 species